AACGCACCUUGCGCUCCUUGGUAUUCCGAGGAGCAUGCCUGUUUGAGUGUCAUUAAUAUAUCAACCUCUUCAACUUUUGUUUGUCGGGUGUUGGAUUUGGGGGUCUUUUUUGCUGGUCUUGUAUCCUACAGGUCAGCUCCCCUGAAAUACAUUAGCAGAACAAUUUGUGAACCGUUCAUUGGUGUGAUAACUAUCUACGCUAUUGACGUGAAACAGGUUCAGCUUCUAACAGUCCAUUGACUUGGACAACUUUUCAUUAAUGUGACCUCAAAUCAGGUAGGACUACCCGCUGAACUUAA
rnacentral:misc_RNA from 1 species